rnacentral:rRNA from 1 species
ACGGAAGGCAGCAGUGGGGAAUAUUGCACAAUGGGCGAAAGCCUGAUGCAGCGACGCCGCGUGAGUGAAGAAGUAUCUCGGUAUGUAAAGCUCUAUCAGCAGGGAAGAAAAUGACGGUACCUGACUAAGAAGCCCCGGCUAACUACGUGCCAGCAGCCGCGGUAAUACGUAGGGGGCAAGCGUUAUCCGGAUUUACUGGGUGUAAAGGGAGCGUAGACGGUUUGGCAAGUCUGAAGUGAAAUGCGGGGGCUCAACUCCUGAACUGCUUUUGAAACUGUCGAACUAGAGUGCAGGAGAGGUAAGUGGAAUUCCUAGUGUAGCGGUGAAAUGCGUAGAUAUUAGGAGGAACACCAGUGGCGAAGGCGGCUUACUGGACUGUAACUGACGUUGAGGCUCGAAAGCGUGGGGAGCAAACAGGAUUAGAUACCCUGGUA